rnacentral:rRNA from 1 species
UGGGGAAUUUUGGACAAUGGGCGAAAGCCUGAUCCAGCAAUGCCGCGUGUGUGAAGAAGGCCUUCGGGUUGUAAAGCACUUUUGUCCGGAAAGAAAUCCUUGGCUCUAAUACAGUCGGGGGAUGACGGUACCGGAAGAAUAAGCACCGGCUAACUACGUGCCAGCAGCCGCGGUAAUACGUAGGGUGCAAGCGUUAAUCGGAAUUACUGGGCGUAAAGCGUGCGCAGGCGGUUUGCUAAGACCGAUGUGAAAUCCCCGGGCUCAACCUGGGAACUGCAUUGGUGACUGGCAGGCUAGAGUAUGGCAGAGGGGGGUAGGAUUCCACGUGUAGCAGUGAAAUGCGUAGAGAUGUGGAGGAAUACCGAUGGCGAAGGCAGCCCCCUGGGCCAAUACUGACGCUCAUGCACGAAAGCGUGGGGAGCAAACAGGAUUAGAUACCCUGGUAGUCCACGCCCUAAACGAUGUCAACUAGUUGUUGGGGAUUCAUUUCCUUAGUAACGUAGCUAACGCGUGAAGUUGACCGCCUGGGGAGUACGGUCGCAAGAUUAAAACUUAAAGGAAUUGACGGGGUCAUAGCUG